GUGAUUGUGUGUGUGUGCGGGGCUGUGUACAUUCCCUGUUUUGCCAUACAAUUUUGUUUGUCACUGUUCUUUUAAGGAUGUUUGAGCUUUGCUAAUUGGAGAUGGAAGAUGUUCCAUUCCAUCUUAACUCUGUCUCAUUUUGUAUGCUACUGCACACUUGUUUUGGACCUGUUUGCUGGGAUGAGACACCAGGAGCUAGGUGUGAAUUUGAGUGUCUUAGCUGUGUGCUAUUUGACUACAAUGGCCAUUUGGAACCCUCAUACAUUUUUAAUUUGUUUAUAAAACCCAAAAAGGAAGCAGUCAAUCUCUUUUUCAGCCCUCAUCCAGGAAAAAAGUAAUGUUACGUUGUUGAUGUUCGUUAUAUCCCAACACACACACUCACUCAAACCCCAGUCCUUGACACUACCCAUACCCAUUCCACAAAAAAAACCUUUUGCCUCCAUACACACAUUUCUGAACCCUGGUCUGCAUUAUUAAUGUCCUUUUAGCAGCCAGACUUCUUCUACGAUCUGUAUCACCUGUCUACUGAACCACACACAUACAGAGUCAUAGGUACUGACACACACACACACAGAGUCAGAGGUACUGACACACACACACAGAGUCAGAGGUACUGACACACACAGACAGUCAGAGGUACUGACACACACAGACAGUCAGAGGUACUGACACACACACAGACAGUCAGAGGUACUGACACACACACAGAGACAGAGGUACUGACACACACACACAGACAGUCAGGUACUGACACACACAGACAGAGACAGAGGUACUGACACAGCCACACAGAGACAGAGGUACUGACACACACAGACAGUCAGAGGUACUGACACACACACACAGACAGUCAGAGGUACUGACACACACACACAGACAGAGACAGAGGUACUGACACACACACACAGACACAGACAGAGGUACUGACACACACAGACACACACAGACAGAGGUACUGACACACACAGACACACCGGUGUGAGUCAGUUAAAUAUCAAGGUCUGUUUUCCGGGUUUCUUAGUCGUUGAUGUUGCUGGGAUGAGUCAUUGUUAUAGCUAGCCUAGCGAUGGCUAAUGGGAGAACAGUCCAGGUGAAAGGGGGGAAAGAUGUGGCCGGGGGGGGGUUUCUUUUUAUUCUAGAAACAUUUCUAAUAUUACAUCUUCGUUUUUUUGUGUAUCCCAUACGCGU
ensembl:lncRNA